UCUCUUUGUUUUGUCCGACGACGAUGGCGAUCAAUCGGUUGAUCAACUCUACCUCCCUUCUCUCCCACCAUUGACGCCACCGCCGUAGGAAAGGAGCUCUCUUUGGGCGGAGACUCCAUCGUCAAAGGCUCAACGGAUGGCUCAACGACGGCGCUGAGGUGGAUUCUUCAUUGCCGUCCCGACCUACCUAUAAACCUCGUACAAAAACUCUUUCGACUAAGACAGGUUAGAAGAGAAAUGCCUAUGAGUUGCGACGGUGAUGAUUGCUUGAAGGUGGCAGCCAAGGAGUCAUUGAAAGGGCAAUGAUGCGCUGCCUCUUGCUAAGAAAGCAAUUUAUGGAAGUGACAGAGCAAAGCUUAGACCCUGCUUGUACCAGACCAACUGUGGAUUUCACAAUGGGCGGGUAAGCCACCAUGCUCUGCACUUUGAUUACUUGAUAUUUUUAGGAGAAUUAGUAGAUGAAAUGUAUUCGGUCAAGGCACUCUCUUUAACUUCUUAACUGCUAUUUGCUAAGUUGGUUUAUAGUGGAUUGUAUGAGCAGAACUCAAAGUAGUUGCAAGCUGAGUUUUUUUAUUAAUGUAGCUUAUAAAUAUAAUUGACUGAUUUGUUCGACGUCUUUUUUUUAAUGGCUUGAUGUCUCGCCUGCUCAUGUAUCUAUAAUUGACUGAUUUGUGAAAUGGAGUUCUCCUUCUUGUUGUUGCUCAUUUAAGUUAUCUUGUUGUUGUUCUGUUAAGUU